rnacentral:rRNA from 1 species
UACGUAGGGUGCGAGCGUUGUCCGGAAUUAUUGGGCGUAAAGGGCUCGUAGGCGGUUUGUCGCGUCGGGAGUGAAAACUCAGGGCUUAACCCUGAGCCUGCUUCCGAUACGGGCAGACUGGAGGCAGGUAGGGGAGAACGGAAUUCCCGGUGUAGCGGUGAAAUGCGCAGAUAUCGGGAGGAACACCGGUGGCGAAGGCGGUUCUCUGGGCCUGUACUGACGCUGAGGAGCGAAAGCGUGGGGAGCGAACAGG